rnacentral:lncRNA from 8 species
CAUUAAAGUCACCCAGGAGGAAAUCGAUAGCUGGAAGGGACCUAAGUGGUAUAUCAGUCAUUUAGUUGCUCCUAAUCCUCACUCAACCACUACCCCUGUAAGAAUUGUCUGGAACAGUAGCCAAGAAUUCAUGGGAAUAAGUUUAAAUGAUCUACUGUACAAGGGUCCUCAUGUCCUAAAUCAGAUAAGGGGCGUGCUUCUGAGAUUCAGGACUGGGUUGUAUGCCGCCCUGGGCGAUGUGAAAAAAAUGUACAACUCUGUCUGGCUAGAAGACAAAGAAGUACACCUCCAUCGAUUCCUCUGGAGAGACAAUCCUGAGGAGGUGAUCGAAGUCUUUGCUGUCGUCAGGGUCAACAUUGGCGAUAAACCUGCUGGUUGUAUCGCCCAGGUGGCAAUGAGAGAAACAGCCAACCUGCCCCAGUUUGCAGCCAUGGUUGAGGAGCGCAGAGUUGUGGUAGAAGAUAGUUAUGUGGAUGACAUCUUGACGUCCCACAAUGACUUGCAGAUACUGGAGAAAAUCACCAAAGGAGUGGAAAAGAUCUUAAAGGCUGGAGGCUUCUCCCUUAAGCCAUGGGUCUUAUCAGGCCAAAGUGGGAGGUCCGCAACCAUAACUGAUGCCAGUAUCAGUAAGACAACUGUGAGUGUGCCCAAAACGCUGGUGUUACCCAACCAGAUGCGGGACGAAGAGAGCAAAGCACUUGGAGCCGGCUAUGAACCAGAGACCGACAAACUUUGUGUGAUGACCUCUGUAAAUUUCUCAAAGAGAGGAAAGUUGAGAACAGGAGUCGAUUUGCGCGAAGAGGAAGUCAGAGGUAAAACUCCAAACCCAUUGACGCGUCGGAUGCUGCUAAGCCAGAUCGCUGGAUUCUACGACCCCAUUGGUCUUGCCACACCUGCAAAGCAGAAAGGGGUUAUGCUUGUGAGAGAAGCUUACCAAGAAGCGAGUAUAAGCAGUCCAGUUAACCUGUUGGGGCUAGGGGGCAGUAUUUGCACGGCUGGAUAAAAAAAUGUACCCGAUUUAAUCUGGUUACUAAU